GAUGAACGCUGACAGAAUGCUUAACACAUGCAAGUCUACUUGAAUUUGGGUUUUUAACUUAGAUUUGGGUGGCGGACGGGUGAGUAACGCGUAAAGAACUUGCCUCACAGCUAGGGACAACAUUUAGAAAUGAAUGCUAAUACCUAAUAUUAUGAUAAUAGGGCAUCCUAUAAUUAUGAAAGCUAUAAGCGCUGUGAGAGAGCUUUGCGUCCCAUUAGCUAGUUGGAGAGGUAACGGCUCACCAAGGCGAUGAUGGGUAGCCGGCCUGAGAGGGUGAUCGGCCACAAGGGGACUGAGACACGGCCCUUACUCCUACGGGAGGCAGCAGUGGGGAAUAUUGGACAAUGGACCGAGAGUCUGAUCCAGCAAUUCUGUGUGCACGAUGAAGUUUUUCGGAAUGUAAAGUGCUUUCAGUUGGGAAGAAAGAAAUGACGGUACCAACAGAAGAAGUGACGGCUAAAUACGUGCCAGCAGCCGCGGUAAUACGUAUGUCACGAGCGUUAUCCGGAUUUAUUGGGCGUAAAGCGCGUCUAGGUGGUUAUAUAAGUCUGAUGUGAAAAUGCAGGGCUCAACUCUGUAUUGCGUUGGAAACUGUAUAACUAGAGUACUGGAGAGGUAAGCGGAACUACAAGUGUAGAGGUGAAAUUCGUAGAUAUUUGUAGGAAUGCCGAUGGGGAAGCCAGCUUACUGGACAGAUACUGACGCUGAAGCGCGAAAGCGUGGGGUAGCAAACAGG
rnacentral:rRNA from 1 species